CUACCUCUCUGCUUCUUGCCUCUUUCUUUUCUCUUGCGCGUCUAUAACAUCAACUGUUGAGGGGAAUGUUGUCUGGUUCGAAGUCAUUCAUAUGAAUCUUAAAUGUCUUCUGAAUGAUUUCGGACCAGGCUUCAUUCCCCCCAACUUGUUUUAAUGGCUAUAUAUUUGCUCAGCUUAACGAAGUAUAUGCAUAUAUGCUCAUUUGAUGCAAAUACAGAAGGAAGAGUUUGAAUCAAGAAAUAUUAAGCCAAUGAUCGGACAGGCCAAAAUUUGGCAACCUGGAAUUGGAAACAGGUAAAUUUGAAGGUAGAAUUUCAUAUCCUCUUUUCAUGGUUUUUUUCCUCCCUUGUCAUAAACUGUUGAGUCAAUGUGAACAGAUUACUGCAAAAAUUCGGUCUUCUUCAAUCUCUUUGGUUUGUUCAUAUUUUUGGGAUUUGGAGUGUUGAUUGUGGGAUGUGGACUUUGCUUGCAGAGACUUGCAAAGAAUAAAAGUUACUAGAACUUUGUGUGCUGUCCCUUUAGUUUUAUGUAUGUGGGAUGGAGAGAGAGAUUAAAAGGGUACUUUAAAUUUGCCUCAUUUUAUCCCUUCAGAAUUCAACAAAACAACUUCUUUGUACGUGCCAAACUAUAUCUACCUGGUGGGGUAGAUAUAUUAACUCUUGGUGGGUCAAAUGAACAUGAAAAAACCAAAACUUUUCCAUGUGAAGAUCAUAAUUCUGUGGGUCAGGUCUGCCCCGCCGGGGUUGUCAAAAUGUUGAGCGACUGUAGCUACAUGGCUGCAGCUACUGAGUUUUGAGCGUUUGUCAGAAGGCAAAAAAAAAAAGGAAUUGCAGAAGGUUCAUCUUAUCUCCUUGAGCUGAAGAGAAGACGCGCUUGCAGUUUGUAAAAGAUGAGAUGAAGACAAUAACAAAGGAUUUGAUAGGACUUGAGAGAUGGAGAUUGGAGAUCAAAGAUUACAAAGUGAAAAAAGGGAGGGGAGCCACCAUAGGGCCUUGUCUGCAUAUGUGUCUCCCAUGUUGUGAUAACUUUUUCCAUGCACCAAAGGAGGGCUACAUCCCCUUACUGCCUAAGCCUCUAAAGUCAUGCACUACAUGUUGUAGCAGUGAAAAUCUAUCUCUUUUCUCCUUUUUCCUUUUCCCCUUCUGUUAUUGUUCCUCAUGUUAGAUUAUGUCCCCAUCUACUACAUGUCAUCUUAUAAUUAAUUAAAUUUAGGUUAACUUUCUGUU